rnacentral:lncRNA from 1 species
GGGACCUUCAGAGCAACAAGUGGACUAUGCUCCUCCUGGGCUUCGGGAUUGCACUACCCCUGAUCACAGCUGGAGGUGGGUGUUAUCUCUUGUGGCUCAAGAAGAAGAAGGAGGAGGAGACAGAAGAGGUCACCACACUGCUGCCUCUGUCUGGCUCCCAGGUGAGUGUGGCCAGUGGGGACUCCCAGCAGGAAGUGAGAGGGACAGGUCAGAGUGGAAACCCUUGCUUCUUUUCUCUUCACAGGAACAAGGGAGUUACUCAUCUCUCAAAAAUAAACAGGGGACACUAGAAAGCUCACACACAACUGUUUCUGAGCUUUCCAUCCUGUGACCCCUUGCAUUCCAGGGCCACAAGACCCUCAAGGUUCUGCGGUCAUGCCCUCGAGAUGGCAGGCCCUCAUGGUUUCCCUCCACACAUGCCUUUGUAAAAAAGCCCUUCAUUAAACAUCCCUUGAAUUCUAAGAGACUGCACCUUCUACUUCCUGCUUUGACUUGAGCCAAGAAGAGACUUCCAUAAUUGUCUAUGGGUUGUUCUGUCUCCCCAUCCUCCCUGUGACCUACCAUCCUCUUCCUGUCCUUGUCCCAGAGCAACAGCUUCUCAUGCUCGUGCCAGCCUCACCUAAUUAUAACACUAGGGACAGGGACAGAGAUGGUCUGGGUGGCGUCAGAGAUCACUACCUCUAGGCAUGGACCAGAAUAGGUGAGAGACCAGCUGAGGACCCAGUCAAGAGCAGACAGUAACAAGAAGACACCAGAAAUAGGCUCCAGGUUCUGCCA